ensembl:lncRNA
GAGUUUUUAGACUGAUUUAUUUGAUAAAUUGAUGGGUGAUUUCUGUGACAGUGUGCAGUGAGCUGAGGUCCCAGUUCUUAGACAGAAAGUUAAACACAAAGAAGGAAUGAUGUCCAGAAGAAUAUGUUGAUUGCACAUAUUGCACUACUUCCUGGAACAGCGCUAAAAUGACAUCAAAGGAAUUAAAAGAGAAAGAGAAGGCAGGACUGGAGAGGAUUCCUUUCUGGGGAAACCAACCAGCUCAAGAGAACACUGGGAUCUAGGAGUUCUAUACAAAGACAGGACCCUGAACAUCCCUGGUGGUGCACUGGAUAAGAAUCUGCGUGCCAGUGCAGGGGACACAUGUUCGAUCCCUGGUCCAGGAAGAUCCUACAUGCUGCAGAGCAACUAAGCCCAUGUGCCACAACUACUGAGACCUCGCUCUGGAGCUCACGAGCUGCAGCUAAUGAAGCCCGUGCACCUAGAACGUGUGCUCCGCAACAAGAGAAGCCACCUCAGUGAGAAGCCCUUGCACCAAAACGAAGAGUUGCCCCUACUUGCUGCAACCAGAGAAAGCCCACUUGCAGCUACAAAGGCCCAGAGCAGCGAAAAACAACUAACUAAUUAAUUAAAGAAAAAGACAGGGCCCUCACCUGACCACCCUAAAGUGAGACCCUCUCCUCAACAAGCCCAGCCUUCACAGUUUCCGAUUAGCUUGCGGUGCCUCUCUGUUUAACUGAAUGGACAUCCAGGGAUCACUCUCCAUUUGGAAAAAACCUUUCAUGCAAAAGACAGAAACCAGAAGAAAUGGGGAAAGAAACAUUAAGAAAAACGGUGUCACUGAAAAAAACCUAAGGAAAACCUUAAAAACAAACACACGCACAAAAAACACUGGAGUUAUUUCCUGAGAAAACAAGGAAAAUUCCACAUUUAUGAAAUGUGAAGAGUUUGUUGUUAAAAUGUCACAUUUAGGGAAUAAGAUGGAGCUUCUGGAAAUUAGAGGAACAGAAAUGAACUAUUUGUGGAAGAAUUAGAAGAUAAAGUUGAGGACAAAAAUACAGACAGAUGCAAAAAAAGCUAAAAGAAGAGAAGUUUAUAAGUUCAAUCCUUGAAGUCUAAAAGACAAACUACAGGAAUUCUAGAGAAAGAAUGGAGAGAACGAAACUUACAAAGGAAAAUUUCUAAAAAUCUUAAGAACAUGAUUCUUCAGGGUGAAAGUUCUCAAUAAGUGUGUAGAAAGCUGCUGCUGCUACUGCUGCCAAGUCAUUUCAGUCGUGUCUGACUCUGUGCGACCCCAGAGACGGCAGCUCACCAGGCUCCACCGUCCCUGGGAUUCUCCAGGCAAGAACACUGGAGUGGGUUGCCGUUUCCUUCUCCAAUGCAUGAAAGUGAAAAGUGAAAGUGAAGUCGCUCAGUCGUGUCCGACUCUUCUCGACCCCACGGACUGCAGCCUACCUGGCUCCUCCAUCCAUGGGAUUUUCCAGGCAAGAGGACUGGAAUGGGUUGCCAUUGCCUUCUCCUGUGUAGAAAGCUAGAGGACAAUAAAAUAAUGCCUUCACAGUUUUUUUAGGAAAAACUACAACUGAAAAUUCUAUAGGAAAUCAAACUAUCAUACCAAGUGUGAGAGGAGUAUAAAGAUGUUUUCAAAUAGACAAGGCAUCAAAAGUGCUAUUCCCUAUACACCAUUUCUCAUGAAGCUUCUGGAGAAUGUGCUCCAUGAAAAAAGGGAGAAAAUGAAGAAAGAUAUGACAGGAAACAGCAAAUCCAGGAGUACAAAUAAGCAGCUAGUCCAUAUGGGAGCAGGUCAGAAGGCUCCAUGUGGAACAACUUCAAGAAGCAACGAUGGAGCAAACAUUGUCUUACAGAUUUGACCUUCAUGAGAAAGAAGUUUCAGUGAUCCUUUCAAAAAGCAUGGUGAUGAGGACUUCCCUGAUGGUUCAGAGGUUAAGAAUUGAUCUUGCAAUACAGGGGAUGUGGGUACAAUCCCUGGUCAGGGAACUAAGAUGCCACAUGCUGCAGGGCAACUGAGCCCAAGUGCCAGUCACAACUACUGAGCCUGCGCACCGCAAUGAAAGAUGCUGCUUAACACAAGGAAGAUCUCGAGGGCCAGAACUAAGACCCAAUGCAGCCAAAUAAGUUAAAAAAUAUUUUUUAAGACUUAAAAAGCACGGUGAUAAAGUGAUGCAAGUACAGGGAAAAGGAAGCAUAAUAGUUCCCACUCUAUAUGCUAGGUUUGCACAGUCACCACACUGGCAAAAACUAAAGUCAAAUGGUACCAAGUGUUGGCAGGAAUGUGAAGCACUGGGAACUUGCGGAUAACAUUGGUAGAAGCACUUUGGCAAAUUAUGGGUAAUAUAAAGAUGAAGAUACACAUGCACUGUGACUCAGAAUGUUUACUCCCUGCAGCUUGAAACGUGUACAUGUGCACCAAGUGGUGUGUACAAGAAUGUCCCAGCAAUGAGACUUACUGCAAACUGGAAACAACCCAAAAGCACACUGUCAGUUUAGUUCAGUUCAGUUCAGUUGCUCAGUCGUGUCAGGCUCUUUGCAACCCCAUGAAUUGCAGCAUGCCAGGCCUCCCUGUGCAUCACCAUCUCCUGGAGUUCACUCAAACUCACGUCUAUCGAGUCGGUGAUGCCGUCCAGCCAUCUCAUCCUCUGUCGUCCCCUUCUCCUCCUGCCCCCACUCCCUCCCAGCAUCAGAGUCUUUUCCAAUGAGUCAUACUCAGCCAAUCAAGAUGGAUGUGAACAGUGCCAUGACUGAAUUUUAUUGGGUUGAGUAAAAGAAGCUAAACAGUAAAGAAUACACACUUUUCACUCCAUUUAUAUAAAAAUUUCAAAACAGAGCAAAUUAAACUGUGUUGUUUCACAAUGCAGACAUGGGUAGUAAAACAAUAAAGAAAAAGAAGGAAGUUGUAAUAAUAAAAGGUGGUAUAGUGUUACCCCUGGGGAGAGGUAGCUAGUUGUCACGAGGAAGGGAUACC